GCGCUUCCUUAGGCUGCAGCCAUGGCGGGGCAAGAGGAUCCGGUGCAGCGGGAGAUUCACCAGGACUGGGCGAACCGGGAGUACAUUGAGGUCAUCACCAGCAGCAUCAAGAAAAUCGCAGACUUUCUCAACUCUUUCGAUAUGUCUUGUCGUUCAAGACUCGCAACACUAAACGAGAAAUUGACAGCUCUUGAGCGGAGAAUAGAGUACAUUGAAGCAAGGGUGACAAAAGGUGAGACCCUCACCUAGAACUGUGCCAUGCUGCUGCUGGGAAGUUGCUUUUACAGAACGCAGACCCUCGUGGGAAAGGCCCCAGCAGCCUUCAGCUCCUUCUUCUCUCCUUCAAGAGCAACAGGGCUUAUUCUUGUUUUCCUUUUUUUCAAAAAUGUGGCCUUUGGGCUCUUCCAUGUACACCCAGCAGUGUGAUGUGGCGUGUGGGGAGGAGCCAGGGGAACUCUCAGAAACAACAUUAGGCAUUUUACUUCUUCAGUGACACUUUGUAGAACUACUUGUCAACAUAUUUGAGGCGCUAAGAGCCAGAAGGUGGGACUCUGUCAAGGUCCUCCCCACCUCUCUCUCUCUCUCUCUCUCUCUCAGCCUUUCCUUGCAGCUCUCAUUGCCUCUGCAUUGAUUCUAUAAACGGUCUUUGCCUCCUCCCCACCUUUGGCCGGGGGUCAGAAGCAGUCCUGGCUGAGGUGCCCUGGCGAGGUGGUUGCCAGAGAAUGUUGUUGCUAACCCACCAGUUUCUUGUCCUUUUGGGGAGGUCAAGUCCAGGCCCCCACUUGGCUUGAAAAGGGACAUUUUCAGAGUUUUCUUUCUCUCACUUGGGGUGUCUUUAUCUCUCAUAUUUCCCUAAUAAACUCCUCAACUUUAUCUGACUGCUGUGAUUGUGGUGGGGAGAGGAGCUAGAGAUGGGGCUCACGUAUUCCACAGAAAUCUGAUGUGUGGGAUUCUUAUUCUAACAGCAAACUUUCAGAUGUAGCUGUUUGAUCAAACCCUAGGUGGCUUGCCAGCUGGAGCCCCCAUAUUUGGACUUUGCGCUAAUUCAUCCUGAGAAUCGUUUGGUCAUUCAGUGGACAUUUACCGAGUACUUAGUAUGUAGGCACUUUAUGCUCCAAUAAAAUAUGCAGUGUUGAAUCAGGCGUGAUGCUUACAGUCUGUUGAAAUACCAGCAUCUACACAAUUCAGCCGCAAUCCAGGGAAGACUAUUAGUUUUAUAAAGUACAAGCUAAAUGUCUACUUCUUUUUGAAAAGCAAAUCAUUUAAGCAGAAGAGUCUAAAACUUUUCAUUCUAGCAUCAAAGCCUGCUAUAAACUUGUGCCAACCCACUCCUACGGCUUAACCGUCAUGUAGAAUUUUCAUUUUAGCCAUGUAGAAGUCAUUUCUCCCUAUUCAAAUCUUACUUGCCACUCAAGGUCUAGCUUAAGCCGAACCUCCUCCAUAAAGUUUUCCUAACGUUACUUUUCAUUCAGUGCUGCCCUGUUCCUUUUCUCAGUCCCUCCCAUCCUGCCAUGCUAAUACUGCGCUUCAGCCCUGGGUCUGAUCUUGUUCUCUGCCUUGGUGUCUGCGUCGUACAGCAUACAUCAGUGCCUUUGCCUGUGUUGCUCAGCUGGGUACCUUGCAAAAGGCAGGUAGUCAGUAAAUAGCAAUCGAAGUGACUUGGCAGAGCUCAGGCUGCUUUGCAUUGUCACAUCUGAGCUUAGAUCCGUGCUUAGACCUUUGGAAGACCAUUUUAAGUAGUACCUUCACUUGAAAAUGUGGUAUUACAAUGGAGGCAAUACUGACCUCCUUUACUUUGGUAAGUGCUGUUUUUCAACAUUAUUGAGCUCAUCUGAGGUGAUCUAACAAUCUCUUGAGUUCAUUAUUCAUAAUAUCUUCUCUAUCCUUUCUGAGAUAAAUAAGUACUUGUAAAGUUCAAGUUUUAGAUUAGCCUGUGCUCUGCAGUCAGUUUAACAGAUACUAAGUUCCUACUAUGUGCAAGGACAAUAACAAGAUAGUAAUAGAGGCAAAAGUGAUGAUAAUCUAUAGAAGCCAGAAAAACCCUUCCUUAGAUGACAUGAAAAUGAUAAAUUUUUUUAUGGUCCUAUAGACAUUCUGUUAAUUUGUUGAUAUCAAAGUAAUAUUUCUAAAAAAGUUAGUGCCCUAAAUACCAUGUUGCUAAUGGUAAGCUGCUGUUUGUAAGGAGAGCAACUAGCAUGGGAACCAGUGGGAACCAGUGAGCCUGACCUCCUCCAGUAGAGGUAACUCCUCCUGCUUACCUGGCACUUUGAGGUGUCAGAGUGCUUUCCUGUGUAACUGUCAAUACCCCCUUUGUAAAAUGAGCCUCGGCUCGCUCACGGAUAUGUAACUAGUAUUGUCUGUAACUUAUUGAGUGUUACCACGUGCUAGAUGUGCUAAGUGCUUUGUGUACUCUUUUUUGUGUGUGUGUGUGGUACACGGGCCUCUCACCGUUGUGGCCUCUCCCGUUGCGGAGCACAGGCUCCGGACGCGCAGGCUCAGCGGCCAUGGCUCACGGGCCCAGCCGCUCCGCGGCAUGUGGGAUCUUCCUGGACCUGGGCACGAACCCGCGUCCCCUGCAUCGGCAGGCAGACUCUCAACCACGGCGCCACCAGGGAAGUGCGUGUACUCUGUUUUAUUUAGUCCUCAAGUCCUAAGAAGUAGGCGUUCUUACCUCCAUGCAGUUCUUUAGAGAGGCUGAAACUUGUUCAGAGUCACACAAAGUAAGGAAAGGUGCUGGACCUUGAACCUAGACCUGCCUGCCUCAGACUUCUCUAACCGUUUCACUCCCAAGUGUGGUAUAACCACAUCUAAAACUUCCUUUCUCGUUCCUACUUCAGUGCUAUUAGAUACUUUCUUUUUUUUUUUUUUUUAUAAAUUUAUUUAUUUAUUUUUGGCUGUGUUGGGUCUUCGUUUCUGUGCGAGGGCUUUCUCCAAUUGCGGCGAGUGGGGGCCACUCUUCAUCGUGGUGCGCGGGCCUCUCACUGUCGCGGCCUCUCUUGUUGAGGAGCACAGGCUCCAGAUGCGCAGGCUCGGUUGUGGCUCACGGGCCUAGUUGCUCCGCGGCAUGUGGGAUCUUCCCAGACCAGGGCUCGAACCCGUGUCCCCUGCAUCAGCAGGCAGAUUCUCAACCACUGCGCCACCAGGGAAGCCCAGAUACUUUCUUUUAAUAUAAAUUUAUUUUAUAAUUUUUGGCAGUGUUAGGUCUUCGUUGCUGCACGCGGGCUUUCUCUAGUUGUGGCGAGCAGGGCCUACUCUUCAUUGCGGUGCGCAGGCUUCUCAUUGUGGCUUCUCUUGCUGUGGAGCACGGGCUCUAGGUGUGUGGGCUUCAGUAGUUGCAGCACGUGGAUUCAGUAGUUGUGGCUCGCAGGCUCUAGAGCACAUGCUCAGUAGUCGUGGCACAUGGGCUUAGUUGCUCUGCAGCAUGUGGGAUCUUCCGGGACCAGGGCUCGAACCCGUGUCCCCUGCAUUGGCAGGCGGAUUCUUUUUUUUUUUUUUUUUUUUUUUUUGCGGUAUGCGGGCCUCACUGCCGUGACCUCUCCCGUUGCGGAGCACAGGCUCCGGAGGUGCAGGCCCAGCAGCCAUGGCUCACGGGCCCAGCCGCUCCGCGGCACGUGGGAUCCUCCCAAACCGGGACACAAACCCGUGUCCCCUGCAUCGGCAGGCGGACCCUCAACCACUGCACCACCAGGGAAGCCCUCUUUUUUUUUUCUUUUAACAUCUUUAUUGGAGUAUAAUUGCUUUACAAUGGUGUGUUAGUUUCUGCUUUGUAACAAAGUGAAUCAGCUAUACAUAUACAUAUAUCCCCAUAUCUCUUCCCUCUUGCGUCUCCCUCCCUCCCACCCUCCCUAUCCCACCCCUCUACGUGGUCACAAAGCACCAAGCUGAUCUCCCUGUGCUAUGUGGCUGCUUCCCACUGGCUGUGUUUUACAUUUGGUAGUGUAUAUAUGUCCAUUACACUUUCUCACUUCGUCCCAGCUUACCCUUCCUCCUCCCUGUGUCCUCAAGUCCAUUCUCUAGUAGGUCUGCGUCUUUAUUCCUGUCUUGCCCCUAGGUUCUUCAUGACCUUUUUUUUUUUUUUUUUACAUUCCAUAUAUAUAUGUGUUAGCAUACGGUACUCGUUUUUCCUCUUUCUUACUUCACUCUGUAUGACAGACUCUAGGUCCAUCCACCUCACUACAAAUAACUCAGUUUCGUUUCUUUUUAUGGCUGAGUAAUAUUCCACUGUAUAUAUGUGCCACAUCUUCUUUAUCCAUUCAUCUGUCGGUGGACACUUAGGUUGCUUCCAUGUCCUGGCUAUUGUAAAUAGAGCUGCAGUGAACAUUGUGGUACAUGACUCUUUUUGAAUUAUGGUUUUCUCAGGGUAUAUGCCCAGUAGUGGGAUUGCUGGGUCAUAUGGUAAUUCUACUUUUAGUUUUCUAAGGACCUUUCAUACUGUUCUCCAUAGUGGCUGUAUCAAUUUACAUUCCCACCAACAGUGCAACAGGGUUCCCUUUUCUCCACACCCUCUCCAGCAUUUGUUUGUAGAUUUUUUGAUGAUGGCCGUUCUGACUGGUGUGAGGUGAUACCUCAUUGUAGUUGUUUUUUUUUGUUUUUUUUUUUUUUUGCAGUACGUGGGCCUCUCACUGUUGUGGCCUCUCCCGUUGUGGAGCACAGGCUCCGGAUGCGCAGGCUCAGCGGCCAUGGCUCACGGGCCCAGCCGCUCUGCGGCAUGUGGGAUCUUCCCAGACUGGGGUUCGAACCCAUGUCCCCUGCAUCGGCAGGCGGACUCUCAACCACUGCGCCACCAGGGAAGCCCCUCAUUGUAGUUUUGAUUUGCAUUUCUCUCAUGAUUAGUGAUGUUCAGCAUCUUUUCAUGUGUUUGUUGGCAAUCUGUAUGUCUUCUUUGGAUAAAUGUCUAUUUAGGUCUUCUGCCCAUGUUUGGAUUGGGUUGUUUGCUUUUUUGAUAUUGAGCUACGUGAGCUGCUUGUAAAUUUUGGAGAUUAAUCCUUUAUCAUUGCUUCAUUUGCAAAUAUUUUCUCCCAUUCGGAGCGUUGUCUUUUCGUCUUGUUUAUGGUUUCCUUUGCUGUGCAAAAGCUUUUAAGUUUCAUUAGGUCCCAUUUGUUUAUUUUUGUUUUUAUUUCCAUUUCUCUAGGAGGUGGGUCAAAAAGGAUCUUGCUGUGAUUGAUGUCAUAGAGUGUUCUGCCUAUGUUUUCCUCUAAGAGUUUGAUAGUGUCUGGCCUUACAUUUAGGUCUUUAAUCCAUUUUGAGUUUAUUUUUAUGUAUGGUGUCAGGGAGUGUUCUAAUUUCAUUCUUUUACAUGUAGCUGUCCAGUUUUCCCAGCACCACUUAUUGAAGAGGCUGUCUUUUCUCCAUUGUAUAUUCUUGCUUCCUUUAUCAAAGAUAAGGUGACCAUAUGUGCAUGGGUUUAUCUCUGGGCUUUCUGUCCUGUUCCAUUGAUCUAUAUUUCUGUUUUUUGUGUCAGUACCAUACUGUCUUGAUUACUGUAGCUUUGUAGUAUAGUCUGACGUCAGGGAGCCUGCUUCCUCCAGCUCCGUUUUUCUUUCCCAAGAUUGCUUUGGCUAUUCAGGGUCUUUUGUGUUUCCAUACAAAUUGUGCAAUUUUUUGUUCUAGUUCUGUGAAAAAUGCCAUUGGUAGUUUGAUAGGGAUUGCAUUGAAUGUGUAGAUUGCUUUGGGUAGUAGAGUCAUUUUCACAAUGUUGAUUCUUCCAAUCCAAGAACAUGGUAUAUGCCUCCAACUAUUUGUAUCAUCUUUAAUUUCUUUCACCAGUGUCUUAUAAUUUUCUGCAUACAGAUCUUUUGUCUCCUUAGGUAGGUUGGCAGGCGAAUUCUUAACCACUGCGCCACCAGGGAAGCCCCAUUAGAUAAUUUUUAAGCUGUUACAUACUCACGUUAGUCUUACCUGCCUCUUCCCCGUCCUUCCUUUGGUAAAGAAGACUUCAGGGGUUUUCCUGGCUGUGUCUGGCAAACACUGUUUGCAUUGAUGUCUAUGUUGUCAAGUUUCACUUCUUCCAGCUUCCUUUCUCUGAAGACUGAAUUGUGUGUUAUAUUUUCUGGAAGUCUUGCGUAAAGAAUUUAAUCAACUCUGGCACUCUCCCUAGCUGUCUCUCGGUUUCCCUCUUUUGAAAGACCUUAUUUGGUCAGGCUCCAGAAACUGGGAUUUUAUUCUCAAGUUAUAUAUGUCUUUGCUCAUAGGUCAUUUCGGUCCAUAAACAGUGUUAUGGUAAACCACCGUUUAUUUUGUCCCCAGUGUGUCACUUCAACUUAUGUACUUAGAGUUCUGUUAUACUAACAUUUCACCCUCACCGAUGAUGAUAAAGUUAUACUUUACAUUUUAAUCUGUUUACUAAAUCGUUCAGUUUUUAAAACUUAAACAUCUGUUUUAUCCUUUUAUAAUAAAAUGAAGAUGUUGCCAGGAUAGCUGUUUUGAUUUGAACCAUAGGAGACUAGGAGUUCAGAGAGGUUAAAUACUAUCCCCAGCUUUUCUGAAUGCGGAUUGUUCUCAGUCGCCUCACCAUCAUGAAUAAAAAUUGUCCUGGAUAAAAGAACUAUCAAAACUCAAAAGUAAGAAAACAAGCUAAUAAAGAAAUGGACAAAAGAUUUGAACCGAUCCUUCAAAGACAAAAGGAUGGCAAACCAGCUCAUGAAAAGACGUUCAACAUUAUUAGUCAUUUAGGAAAUAAAAAUAAAAACCUCAUCGAGAAACCACCAUACGCAAUCUAUUAGAAUGGGUAAAAUUUUUCAAAAAGAAGAAAAUCCUGAUAAUAAGUGCAGGCAAGGAUGUGGAGCGACUGGAACACUCAUACAUUGCUGGUAGGAAUGCAAAAUGAUAUGACUACUCUGGGAAGACAAUUUAGCAAUUUCUCACGAAGUUAAAAAUGCACUUUAUGUCUCAGCAAUCUCAUCCCUAGAUGAGUCUCACCUAAGAGAAGUGAAAACUUACAGACACACACACACAAAACCUGUAUGCAGAUGCUUAUAGGAGUUUUAUUCGUGAUUGCUCAAUGUUGCUUAACUGGUGAGUGCAGUGGCCUACCACUUGGUGAUGGAAAGAAAUAAACUUGAUACAUUCUACAACAUGGAUGAAUCUCAAAUGCACCAUGCUAAGUGAAAAGCCAGACUCAAAACGCUACGUGCUGUGUGGUCCCAUUAUAUGACAUUAUGGAAAAGGCAGAACUAUAGGGACAGAGGACUGAUGGGUCAGUGGGUGUCAAGACUUAAGCCUGGGGGUAGGGUUUCAUCACAUUCUCUGGGGGGUGGGAGAGGGUGGAUUGUUCUGUAUUUUGAUUGUUGUGAUCGUUACAUGACUAUGCAUGUUGUCAAAACACACCUCUAUCCGCCAAAAAGAGUGAACUCUAGAAAUUUAAAAUACAUUUAG
rnacentral:lncRNA from 1 species